GGGUGAGUGAGCCGGUGUAAUUACAGGCACAAGGGACAUAACAUCUUAGUUCACAAGGUUGGUGGCGCAUUGGCGAUGUAAGUGAUGGUUAACAUUUCUUACAAUGCCAUUGUCUAUGGGUGUUGGUGACCACUUACCAUCAGGUGACCUAUAU